GCGGCGUGCUUAACACAUGCAAGUCGUACGAGAACUCUUUAGCUUGCUAAAGAUAGUAAAGUGGCGCACGGGUGAGUAACGCGUGGGUAAUUUACCUCUGAAUUUGGGAUAACUCCGCGAAAGCGGGGCUAAUACCGGAUAAUAUUUCAGGACCUUCGGGUUUUGAAAUCAAAAGUGGUCUCUACAUGUAAGCUACUGUUUGGAGAUGAGCCCGCGUACCAUUAGCUUGUUGGUAGGGUAAUGGCCUACCAAGGCUACGAUGGUUAGCUGGUCUGAGAGGAUGAUCAGCCACACUGGAACUGACACACGGUCCAGACUCCUACGGGAGGCAGCAGUGGGGAAUUUUGCGCAAUGGGGGAAACCCUGACGCAGCAACGCCGCGUGAGUGAUGAAGGCUUUCGGGUCGUAAAGCUCUGUCAAGUGGGAAGAAUCUGGGAAAUGCUAAUACCAUUUUUCACUGACGGUACCACUGAAGGAAGCACCGGCUAACUCCGUGCCAGCAGCCGCGGUAAUACGGGGGGUGCAAGCGUUAUUCGGAAUUAUUGGGCGUAAAGGGCGCGUAGGCGGUCUUUUAAGUCAGAUGUGAAAGCCCGGGGCUUAACCCCGGAAGUGCAUUUGAAACUGAAGGACUUGAGUAUGGGAGAGGGAAGUGGAAUUCCUGGUGUAGAGGUGAAAUUCGUAGAUAUCAGGAGGAACACCGGUGGCGAAGGCGACUUCCUGGACCAAUACUGACGCUGAGGCGCGAAGGCGUGGGGAGCAAACAGGAUUAGAUACCCUGGUAGUCCACGCAGUAAACGAUGAACACUAGGUGUAGCGGGUAUUGACCCCUGCUGUGCCGCAGUUAACGCAUUAAGUGUUCCGCCUGGGGAGUACGA
rnacentral:rRNA from 1 species